rnacentral:rRNA from 1 species
UGGGGAAUAUUGGACAAUGGGCGAAAGCCUGAUCCAGCCAUGCCGCGUGUGUGAAGAAGGCCUUUUGGUUGUAAAGCACUUUAAGUGGGGAGGAAAAGCUUAUGGUUAAUACCCAUAAGCCCUGACGUUACCCACAGAAUAAGCACCGGCUAACUCUGUGCCAGCAGCCGCGGUAAUACAGAGGGUGCAAGCGUUAAUCGGAAUUACUGGGCGUAAAGCGCGCGUAGGUGGUUAUUUAAGUCAGAUGUGAAAGCCCCGGGCUUAACCUGGGAACUGCAUCUGAUACUGGAUAACUAGAGUAGGUGAGAGGGGAGUAGAAUUCCAGGUGUAGCGGUGAAAUGCGUAGAGAUCUGGAGGGAUACCGAUGGCGAAGGCAGCUCCCUGGCAUCAUACUGACACUGAGGUGCGAAAGCGUGGGUAGCAAACAGGAUUAGAUACCCUGGUAGUCCACGCCGUAAACGAUGUCUACCAGUCGUUGGGUCUUUUAAAGACUUAGUGACGCAGUUAACGCAAUAAGUAGACCGCCUGGGGAGUACGGCCGCAAGGUUA